AACGAACGCUGGCGGCAUGCCUAACACAUGCAAGUCGAACGAGACCUUCGGGUCUAGUGGCGCACGGGUGCGUAACGCGUGGGGACCUGCCUUUAGGUUCGGAAUAACUCCCCGAAAGGGGUGCUAAUACCGGAUAAUGUCUUCGGUCCAAAGUGUUAUCGACUUUGGAUGGGCCUGCGUUGGAUUAGCUAGUUGGUAGGGUAAAAGCCUACCAAGGCGACGAUCCAUAGCUGGUAUGAGAGGAUGAUCAGCCACACUGGGACUGAGAAACGGCCCAGACUACUACGCGAGGCAGCAGUGGGGAAUAUUGGAAAAUGGGCGAAAGCAUGAUCCAGCAAUGCCGCGUGAGUGAUGAAAGCCUUAGGGUUGUAAAGCUAUUUUACACGGGAUGAUAAUGACAGUACCGACAGAAUAAGCUCCGGCUAACUCCGUG
rnacentral:rRNA from 1 species